rnacentral:rRNA from 1 species
GACGAACGCUGGCGGCGUGCUCAACACAUGCAAGUCGAACGGAAAGGCCCUGCUUUUGUGGGGUGCUCGAGUGGCGAACGGGUGAGUAACACGUGAGUAACCUGCCCUUGACUUUGGGAUAACUUCAGGAAACUGGGGCUAAUACCGUAUAGGUGCUCCUGCUGCAUGGUGGGGGUUGGAUAGUUUCGGCGGUUGGGUCUGGACUCGCGGCUUAUCAGCUUGUUGGUGGGGGAGUGGCUUCCCCAGGCUUUGACGGGUAGGCGGCUUGAGUGGGUGGCCGGCCGCAUUGCGACUGAGACCCGCCCCUGCCUGCUACGGGUGGGAGCAGUGGGGAAUACAGCACAUUGUGCGGAAGCCUGAUGAAGAAACGCCGCGUGCGUGAUAACGGCCUACGGGUUGUAAACAGGUUUAGCAUGUGUAGAGGCGUCGGUCACGGUAUUGAGGACGGAGACUCCGGCUCACUACGUG